GGGGGUCUAGCUCAUCGGCAGAGCGCUCGCUUAGCAUGCGAGAGGUGCAGGGUUCGACUCCCUGGUCCUCCAAGAUCCUUUU
rnacentral:tRNA from 1 species